UACGGAGGGGGCUAGCGUUGUUCGGAAUCACUGGGCGUAAAGCGCGCGUAGGCGGACCUGCAAGUCGGGGGUGAAAGCCCGAGGCUCAACCUCGGAACUGCCUUCGAUACUGCGGGUCUCGAGUCCGGGAGAGGUGAGUGGAAUUCCUAGUGUAGAGGUGAAAUGCGUAGAGAUGUGGAGGAACACCAGUGGCGAAGGCGACUCUUUGGCCUGUAACUGACACUGAGGCGCGAAAGCGUGGGGAGCAAACAGG
rnacentral:rRNA from 1 species